rnacentral:rRNA from 1 species
UUAAAUGGGGAGCGGGCAAGAAGUAUUGUUUAGGUAGCGAGAGGAGGAAGUAAGAAGUCCGUUUUGAGUAGCGGUUAAAUUAAUUAAUCCCAGACCACCAACAACGAAGAAUUGUGUUAGAACGACAGUUACGGUGAGAAGUGAAAACGGGGGGAGCGACCAAGAUGAGAUACCCGCCUAGUACCAGCUGCAAAAGACGCUGGACAGUUGUCUGUAGGACCUCCUGCAGAUGUGGUACCGCGAAAAAAAGUUAAAGAGGCCGCCUGCGGGAACGAAGUCGCAAGGAAAAAAAAA